rnacentral:rRNA from 1 species
CCUACGGGAGGCAGCAGUAAGGAAUAUUGGACAAUGGAGGCAACUCUGAUCCAGCCAUGCCGCGUGAAGGAUGAAGGCGCUCAGCGUUGUAAACUUCUUUUGGAUGGGAACAAAAACUCCGAUGCGUCGGAGCCUGAGGGUACCAUCAGAAUAAGCACCGGCUAACUCCGUGCCAGCAGCCGCGGUAAUACGGAGGGUGCAAGCGUUAUCCGGAAUCACUGGGUUUAAAGGGUGCGUAGGCGGCUCGAUAAGUCAGUCGUGAAAUUCCCCGGCUUAACCGGAGGGACUGCGAUUGAUACUGUUGAACUUGAAUCAGGUUGAGGUAGGCGGAAUGUGGCAUGUAGCGGUGAAAUGCUUAGAUAUGCCAUAGAACACCGAUUGCGAAGGCAGCUUGCUGGACCUGUAUUGACGCUGAGGCACGAAAGCGUGGGGAGCAAACGAGGUAUUAGACUACCCGUGGUACGUCCCGACCGACCCGUAAACCGUAACGUUACGUUUACGUUUACGUCGUUGUUGGUCCGGGUUCCGGUUUCCGGUACGUUGGUCGGUCGGGUCGGAACGGACGGAAACGGACGAAGUAAACGUAAACCGUAACCGGUACGGGGUACGGGUUACGGCCGGUACCGAACGGGUUACGGUAACGUUAACGAAAGGAAGUUAGGACGGCGAGGAGACGACGACCGACGGACGACGACGGAGGGAGGAGG